GUGCCAGCAGCCGCGGUAAUACGGAGGGUGCAAGCGUUAAUCGGAAUUACUGGGCGUAAAGCGCACGCAGGCGGUUGGAUAAGUUAGAUGUGAAAGCCCCGGGCUCAACCUGGGAAUUGCAUUUAAAACUGUCCAGCUAGAGUCUUGUAGAGGGGGGUAGAAUUCCAGGUGUAGCGGUGAAAUGCGUAGAGAUCUGGAGGAAUACCGGUGGCGAAGGCGGCCCCCUGGACAAAGACUGACGCUCAGGUGCGAAAGCGUGGGGAGCAAACA
rnacentral:rRNA from 1 species